rnacentral:sRNA from 1 species
GUGGUGAGUUCUUUAACCAGCUAUCCCACUAGCCUUCCACUGUGUGUCCAUCACCGCUCCCAUUGCCCAUGGACAGACUCCAUUCCUCAGCCUUCUGACAUAUUUACACAGCAGUGGUUCUCCAGGGAGCUUCCAAGUCCUGAGAGUUGGACUGGGGCUGCCUCACUGCUCUCUCUUGUUCUAAGGCUUCCAGCAUCAGACACUGUGAAGGUACUUGGUGCUGACACCCACUGAUGGACUACCCAGCCUCCAGUUGUGUAAUUCGGCCUAAUAAAUUCCCCUUUACAUAAGUAACAGCCGGCUACUGAUGCUGUUUCUCUAAAGAAUCCUGGCUAACACACCGUCCCAACAGAUCACUAGUUGCAAAGACUGAACACAAGGUAGAAACAUAGAGUUAGCAAAGACCUGGAGCCAUAGCCACGCGGCCUUGCUACUUCUUUAUCCUAGCCACAGAGCUACAGGGAAGGCAGACAAAAAAGGAACCCUCUGGGUGCACUGUUUUGAUUCUGAACGGAGGCUGUGCCUUGUGGCUGCUCCCUGGUGGACAGCCAAACUCUGCCAGCCCCAGCUGAGAUACCACUUACCAGCUGGGGAUCUUCAGGGGCAGGGCCUGUGCAACAUGUUUACAAGCUGUGUGGCUAUUAGCAACAUCUUAUAGCUCCAGCUAAUUAACCGGAGAGUGGCUGAUGAAGCCCGGCUCUAAAGAGGGCCAAAUUGCAUCAGUGUUUGGGCUUAAAUUGAUACCAAAAAAAUAGCUCGCUCCAGGUGUGUUCCCCAGGCAGGUGGCUUGUUUGCUGAGCUUCACUUCCAGUAGGUCCCAAAGUGGCCAGGGUGUCAGGGUUAUGAGUUGAUUAAGGUCAUUUAAAUCGGCUAAGCGCUAAGUGUAGCUGGCGUUUCAGCCCACUGGUAAAGACUGUGUGUGUGCACCAACCUGGCAGAAUCUACCCCAGAAGCAUCCUGGACACUAGGUUACUACAAAGUGAAACGGGUAGAGACUCAUAAUAUAUUCCCAGCUUCCUCUCCAAGACACAUAUUUUCCUUUAAAACGCCCACAUUAUUCAAGCUGGGGGUAAAAGCUCCUCUUAUUUGAUCACGACAUCUCUUCAUGCUGGCAUUUCUAACUCAGUGUGAGUUGAGUUUCUUAAAAUUGUAUUUCUUUAAAAACACCCGUGAAUACUGUAGUAGUUGAAACUAGAAAUGGUCCCCCAUUGUCUUGAGCAUUUGACAAUUGAUCUUCCCCUAGUCGGUUGUGCUGUUUCGGGAGGUUCAGGUGACACAACCUUGCUGGAGGAAGUUACGUCACUGGGGGCGGGCUCUGAGAGUAAACAGUCUCCGCCACUUCCGGUUCAUUCUCCCUGCCCUGUGCGUAACCAUUCGAGACCUGAACUCUCAGCAUCCAGUUCCUGAGGCCAUGCUUGCUGUUUGCUGCCACUUCUUCCCACCAUAGGACUCUCGUAGGUCGCCCUUGGGCUAUUGGUUCUAUCCCACUUUGAGUAGUGAUAGAAGAAGACUUUGAAUCUGUCACUUCUUCCCCCGGGGCUGGUGAUAACUGGGUGACCAGAAGUCACAAAGGAAGAUGGAAAGCGCCCAAUGGCAGUCUCCAGCUCCUGCACUGAGAGGUUGCUGGACCUGUCUUACUUGGGGGACACUUUGAGAGAGGAGGGAGUGGGGGCACAGACCAGAUAUGUUAACUAGGAGACACUGAGGCCACUGGUCCACACAAGGAGCACAUUCGAGACAGCCAAGUGCUAGACAAACCUGACAGCAGCCAAUAACAGCAGCUGACACUUCUUAACUAGAAACAACCACUGUGCUGCCGAAACUGUACCUGUGUUUUAUACGGUCAUCUGUUUAAUCUCUUCCUUAGAAUUCAUGAAGGGAGAAGACAGCCUUGUACAAAGUAAGUAAUGAGGGAAGUCAUGCGGCCUGUAAGAAGUAGUUAAACUUCAAACCCAUGUCCUUUCGACUGUUUUGAUGACUUUGUAAAUGCCGACUUGGGUGACAUAGAAUCUACUGAGGAGAGAGGGAUUGCCUAGAUUAGGUUGGACUCUGGGCAGGUCCUGGGGAUUGUCUUGUUUGUUAACUGGUGUUGACAGACACAGCCCACUGUGGGCGGCACUUAUCCCUUAGGCAGGGAGUCCUGAACUACAUGGGACAGGAGAAAGCUAGAGAAAGCAAGCGGGCAGCACAAGGACAUUUGCUCUCUCUGACAUUAACUUUGUAUGUGUGGAUAGCUGUUUUAAAUCCCUGUCUUGAUUUCUCCUCAGUAAAGAAAGGCAGCCUGGAACUGAAAACAGAAAUGAACCCCUUCCCUCCCCCAAGGUACAUUUGGUCAGGAUAAUUCAUCACAGCAAUGGGCAUGAAACUAUAAGAGCUGCUUGAUUCUUUGCUCCUGCUGCUUUUUUAAAAAGUUUUAUACUAGUGCAUAUUUAUUCCACAUGACAAGAGGAUUCAUGAUGACAUUCCGUGCAUGUAUGUUGCAUCAUCCUGGUUGUUUUCAGCAUCACACCAAGUCCUUUCAAACAGCGGAACAGAUCUCUGGCCCUGUCUCAAUGAAUGGGGACUUCGGGACACUUCUUGGGCCAAAUUACCACUCAUCCCAUGGACUCUAGCUCCCUGUUUCUAUAGCCUUUUCUCUAGAAGAAGAUCUCAGCCAUACUGGGAUGCUGAUGAUAAUUGAAAUUCAGAAGAAGUCAUGAAUCAAAGCAACAUGUAGCCAUUGCCUUGAGCUGGUAUAAUCUAAACCCAAACCCUGUCUGGUCAUAUCUCAGCCCCCUUGACCCUUCGUGCUACAGGUGAUCUGAAUGAAACUCUCCUGUCUUCCCAGAAGGAUAACAGCGAAGGGUAAAACAAUUGAACACUUUCUAGAGGCUUCUGGCCUUAGAGCUUCCUGGAAGUCCCAGUGAAGGUAGAAUGGUUUUCGUAACUGUUGCAGUUGGUCUGCUUGCUGUCUUACCCUCAGGCCAUGGUUACAUGUAGUUUUCCUGUGGUAGUUUGUAAUUGGCACCCGUAGGCCCAUAGGGAAUGAUACUAUUAGGAGGUGUGGCCUUGUUGGAGUGGGUGUGGCUUUGUUGGGUGGGUGUGGCCUCGUUGGAGAGUAAGUGUGUCACUGUAGAGGUCGGCUUUGGGGUCUUACAUAUGCUCAAGCCAUAGCCAGUGGAGCAGUCUCCUGCUGCCUUCGGAUCAUGGCGUAGAACUCUCAGCUCCUCCUGCAUCAUGUUUGCCUGCAUGCCACCAUGCUUCCCACAGUGACGAUAAUGGACUGAGUUUCUAACAUUGUAAGCCAGCCCCAAUUACAUGUCCUUUAUAAGA